rnacentral:rRNA from 1 species
GACGAACGCUGGCGGCGUGCUUAACACAUGCAAGUCGAACGGAAAGGCCCUGCUUUUGGGGGGUGCUCAAGUGGCGAACGGGUGAGUAACACGUGAGUAACCUGCCCUUGACUUUGGGAUAACUUCAGGAAACUGGGGCUAAUACCGGAUAGGAGCUCCUGCUGCAUGGUGGGGGUUGGAAAGUUUCGGCGGUUGGGGAUGGACUCGCGGCUUAUCAGCUUGUUGGUGGGGUAGUGGCUUACCAAGGCUUUGACGGGUAGCCGGCCUGAGAGGGUGACCGGCCACAUUGGGACUGAGAUACGGCCCAGACUCCUACGGGAGGCAGCAGUGGGGAAUAUUGCACAAUGGGCGGAAGCCUGAUGCAGCAACGCCGCGUGCGGGAUGACGGCCUUCGGGUUGUAAACCGCUUUCGCCUGUGACGAAGCGUGAGUGACGGUAAUGGGUAAAGAAGCACCGGCUAACUACGUG